AGAGUUUGAUCCUGGCUCAGAAUUAACGCUGGCGGCGCGUCUUAAGCAUGCAAGUCGAACGAGCGAAAUCUCUUCGGAGAUUAGCUAGUGGCGAACGGGUGAGUAACACGUAGGUAAUCUACCCUUUAGUCGGGGAUAGCUCCUGGAAACAGGAAUUAAUACCCGGUAUUAUCUUAAAUACACAAGUAUUUAAGAUGAAAGAUGAAAAUCGCUAAAGGAUGAGCCUGCGUCCCAUUAGCUAGUUGGUAAGGUAAUGGCUUACCAAGGCGACGAUGGGUAGCCGGCCUGAGAGGGUGUACGGCCACAUUGGAACUGAGACACGGUCCAGACUCCUACGGGAGGCAGCAGCUAAGAAUCUUCCGCAAUGGGCGAAAGCCUGACGGAGCGACGCCGCGUGGAGGAAGAAGGCGUUAUGCGUUGUAAACUUCUUUUGCAAAGGACGAUAAUGACUGUACUUGUGAAUAAGC
rnacentral:rRNA from 1 species